AUACUUACCCGGCAGGGGAGAUACCAUGAUCGCGAAGGUGGUUUUCCCAGGGCAAGACUUAGCCAUUGCACUCUGGAUGUGCUGAGCCCUGCGUUUUCCCCAAAUGUGGGAAACUCGACUGCAUAAUUUGUGGUAGUGGAGGGACUGUGUUCGCACUCUCCUCCC
ensembl:snRNA U1 U1 spliceosomal RNA